rnacentral:lncRNA from 1 species
GAGCUUAGACAUAUAUGGGACGUUGAAAGGGGGAGCUACUACCGCUAACUCUUGCUCUAAAAGCUAAAAUGGAAGAAGAAAUAUUAGAAGCACCAUGGCUAAGGGGCUGAUCAAUACUUUGAAAGAAAUUAAAAGCUAGCAUAAACAUCAAUCGAGUUAAACAUGCCAAAACCACGAGCAUAAUUGCUACAACUUAAUUCAUAAUUUGAGUGGCAUUCCUUAUUUACUAAUGAUUCUUAAAAGGUUGUUGAACAAGUAAGAUGCACUUGAUAAAUUCGCACUCCAAUUGAACUUGAAGAGAGAGUUUGAUUUCUGCAAAUUCAAGAGAUCAAGCAAAGGAACAUUUUAAGGGCGUAGACAUACACCAACAUGUGUUAGUAAUGUACUGUUGAAGUUCUAUACACACUGACGGUGUAAAAUACUCAAAUCAUAUUAUUUAUAAGGUAAUUACGAGUAAAGUAUUAUAAUGAGCAUUCAUUAAUAACCUAGUAAAAAUGAUAAAUGGCUUGCUUUACUAGGUUAAAUUACACUAUAAAUCAUGUGAGUGCGUAUAACUUAAAUCGUGUUGCAAUAAAUCCUAUUGUGAUAUGUUCUCCUCAACCGCGUGAUCCAUCACAGUAAAAAUGUAGUUGUCUCUAUCAAGAGUACUGCAAUUUACACUGAACAAAGAAACUAACACCAAAGGAGGAGAAGAAAUUAGGAGCCGCAUAUUUUGAUCUUAUAAUAGAGGUAAAGAACAAAACCACUAAUGUGUCAUUCAGAAAAAACAAACCAGCCAAAAAGGCAAAAGAUUACCUAAUUAUACUUUCUUUCUUGGCCAAACUAGCCUGUUAGAGGCCUUAUUAUUAUAUAUAUUGGCAAGCUGAUUGAUCAAUUACUAGUACUCAUGUAUUACUUUUUGAUUCUUUUCUGGAGAGUAAUUAAUCACGCAUUCUAUAUAUGUCUAUUUGGCAAGUUGUCCAUUUCAAAUGGCAAGUUGGACAUGGUUUUUAGUGAUUAGUCAACAAAAUGGAAGAAGGAACAAUUGAUGAAAGUUGGUCAGGACUUGCCAUUUUCUAUAGUCAGUUGUUGAUGUGUAUAGCUAUAAUGAAAGAGUUUAAUUUCUAUACAGUAAAAAACAAAUGCGAUAAAUACCCUGCUAAAACAGAUCAAACUGAACCUAUCAUAGUAUAAAAAAUUUAAUUUCUUAAAAUAUAGGUAUAAUGUGAAAAUUCUUUACACGUAUUUAUACUUGAAACUAAUCAAUAUUCCAAAUAUGUGAAUUUCAAAGUAAAGAAACUGUACAUACGAACCACAUAGUUGUCCACUAAUGUCCUCCUGGAUCACUCUCUCAGUCUCUGUUGUGUGCCUGCUGCUUCAUUAGAGGAGAGUCAUAUGUUUGAUGAUGCAGCAUCAUCAAGAUUCCCAUAUGAAAUUUACGAGAAUCUUGGAUUAGACCUCAGCUAAGAUUUUAACUUUAUAGAUUUUGG